GGAUCUAGAAAGGAUGAUAUUGUAAGUAUGACACGAGCUUGCAUCGUAUAAGAACAACGUAUACGAAUCUCUUAUAAAACCGUAGAUGACGACGUUGAAGCAACCACGACAAGAGAAUGUGAUUUUAGCGAAACCGACUGCAAAUUCUUUAAGCACAACUUCAAAAGAGUACAAGUAAUUGCCGCUCCCUCACAACCCUACUUGACCCUCUAGGACCCUCUGAUUCUUGCCCAAUAUAAGAAUCUACUGUUAUAGAACUGUCUAACCUAUCCCUCUUAAACGCUUCUAAUUAUCUUUCACAAAACUUGGAUGAGAUCUUAGUGUUUGCCUUUACCUUGAUUUAUUCCUAGAGGUUCCACCCUUUGUUUAUAUAGUUCCCUUCAAGAUCCUCAUACAUACAAGUAGGAGUCCUACACCUAGUAGUAUUCUACCCUCAAGUCCUAGUAGAAAUAAAAGUCCUAAUAGCACACCUCUAUUGAGUUCUAAUCUGAGUAGGAUUUGAGUCACCAUACAACAAUCUCCACCUUAACUCUUAGUCUUUGAAGUCACCGUUCUCCUCCAAGAAUUCGCUCCAAAUCAGUUUCUUUUUUAUUUUUUAUACUCCUACCAUAGGAGUACCCCCA
rnacentral:lncRNA from 1 species